UACGUAGGGUCCGAGCGUUUGUCCGGAAUUAUUGGGCGUAAAGAGCUCGUAGGCGGUCUGUCGCGUCGGCUGUGAAAACCUGGGGCUCAACUCCAGGCCUGCAGUCGAUACGGGCAGACUAGAGUUCGGUAGGGGAGACUGGAAUUCCUGGUGUAGCGGUGAAAUGCGCAGAUAUCAGGAGGAACACCGGUGGCGAAGGCGGGUCUCUGGGCCGAAACUGACGCUAAGGAGCGAAAGCGUGGGGAGCGAACAGG
rnacentral:rRNA from 1 species